rnacentral:rRNA from 1 species
GACGAACGCUGGCGGCGUGCUUAACACAUGCAAGUCGAACGGAAAGGCCCUGCUUUUGUGGGGUGCUCGAGUGGCGAACGGGUGAGUAACACGUGAGUAACCUGCCCUUGACUUUGGGAUAACUUCAGGAAACUGGGGCUAAUACCGGAUAGGAGCUCCUGCUGCAUGGUGGGGGUUGGAAAGUUUCGGCGGUUGGGGAUGGACUGGCGGGUUAUCAGCUUGUUGGGGGGGUGGUGGCUUACCAAGGCUUUGACGGGUAGUCGGCCUGAGAGGGUGACCGGCCACAUUGGGACUGAGAUACGGCCCAGACUCCUACGGGAGGCAGCAGUGGGGAAUAUUGCACAAUGGGCGGAAGCCUGAUGCAGCAACGCCGCGUGCGGGAUGACGGCCUUCGGGGUGUAAACCGCUUUCGCCUGUGACGAAGCGUGAGUGACGGUAAUGGGUAAAGAAGCACCGGCUAACUACGUG